rnacentral:rRNA from 1 species
UACGUAGGGAGCAAGCGUUGUCCGGAAUCAUUGGGCGUAAAGCGCGCGUAGGCGGCCUCAUAAGUCCGUUGUGAAAGUCAAAGGCUCAACCUUUGAAAGCCGAUGGAUACUGUGAGGCUAGAGUCCGGAAGAGGCGAGUGGAAUUCCUGGUGUAGCGGUGGAAUGCGCAGAUAUCAGGAGGAACACCAAUAGCGAAGGCAGCUCGCUGGGACGGUACUGACGCUGAGGAGCGAAAGCGUGGGGAGCGAACAGG